rnacentral:rRNA from 1 species
AGUGAACGCUGGCGGCGUGCCUAAUACAUGCAAGUCGAACGGAGAUUAAGUAGCUUGCUAUUUAAUCUUAGUGGCGCACGGGUGAGUAAUGUAUAGCUAAUCUGCCCUACACUAGAGGACAACAGUUGGAAACGACUGCUAAUACUCUAUACUCCUGUCUUACAUAAGUUAGAUAGGGAAAGUUUUUCGGUGUAGGAUGAGGCUAUAUUGUAUCAGCUAGUUGGUGAGGUAAUGGCUCACCAAGGCUAUGACGCAUAACUGGUCUGAGAGGAUGAUCAGUCACACUGGAACUGAGACACGGUCCAGACUCCUACGGGAGGCAGCAGUAGGGAAUAUUGCUCAAUGGGGGAAACCCUGAAGCAGCAACGCCGCGUGGAGGAUGACACUUUUCGGAGCGUAAACUCCUUUUGUUAGGGAAGAAUAAUGACGGUACCUAACGAAUAAGCACCGGCUGACUCCGUGCCAGCAGCCGCGGUAAUACGGAGGGUGCAAGCGUUACUCGGAAUCACUGGGCGUAAAGGACGCGUAGGCGGAUUAUCAAGUCUCUUGUGAAAUCCUAUGGCUUAACCAUAGAACUGCUUGGGAAACUGAUAAUCUAGAGUGAGGGAGAGGCAGAUGGAAUUGGUGGUGUAGGGGUAAAAUCCGUAGAGAUCACCAGGAAUACCCAUUGCGAAGGCGAUCUGCUGGAACUCAACUGACGCUAAUGCGUGAAAGCGUGGGGAGCAAACAGG